UCCAAACAAACGUUGAUUCAAACGUUAUGAACCUUCGUAGUUUUAUAUUAUAAGACUGACAGUCACACACACAAGUUUGCUUACUCAGUGUAUUGGGCCAGGGUGCUGAGUGAGGUGCUGGAACUUGAAAUGCAUGUAUCAUUAAGUUACAGUUCUGUUAGGAUUUGACUGCCUUUUUACAGGGACUUUCUAUUCUUAUUAUUAACAGUUUUAUUUAGUAUAGACUGUUCCUGGUUGAGAGUAAUUCUCUGCUCAGUCCAACUGGUGCAUAAUUAGCAUUUGAUUCACAUAUUUCGAAUUCGUAGCAGUAAAAACACAAAUUAAUGUAUUUAACAACUUUUUCUGAUUUCAGGAGCACAGUAAGUAUUAGUCGUAAAUAACUUAGAGAUUUAUGUGGAAGUUUCUCAGUAAGUUUACUCUGCUGCUCGAGCUCUGCUAAUCGAUGGUCCAGUAUUUCAAUUGUAUAUUCAUUCGUCAGGACCACGUCAUUUUUUUAUAUUCACGCAAAGCACAGUCGCGUGAAGAUUUGGUAAUUAUAGUGAACAUGGGGGAAAUAAAAUAUUUUUAGUAGCAUUAUUAUUAAUUCCUCAGGCGACUUUGUGCUCAAUUUUAAAAGAGGUUCUCCUGGCUUUGGAAAAUCUUAUCUGAUUCAGGAUCAAAUCAUCGGUUACACUCCCCUAUCACCAGUGAUUCCUUGUUUUAGCUGACACUCUGAAAAAGGUAUUGUGUGUAGGGCAAGAACAUUAAAGAUAAAGGGAAACUAUAAACAGAAGAAGUUUUCAACAAAAAAAGAUUUACAGAGGUCAACAAGUCUAAAUGGUCAGACAUCUUGAUUUGCAUGGUCAUCAUUCAACAGAUCAAUACUAAACAGAAAACUUAAAGUUGAUAUUUUUCUCCAUAGUGCGACUUUUUUUAUGAAUUUGAAAUGGAACAUGUUUUUUCCUACAUUUAUCAGAAAGAGGAAAUUUCAACAUAAUGACUAAACAAAAAGGUUGAGUCAUAACAUCACAAUCAUAGUCUAGAUGCACAAGAACUUGAUCACGGAAAUGCAACAAUGUACGGAAUUAUCAAUUGGAAGAAGGACUGAAUGAAAAAAAAAUUAGUUUGUUGUUGUCCAAAUAAACUUGCUUCUCAUUUGAAUUGCUCCAUCCAAUAAAGAUGUAUAGAGGAAGAUCUUUAAAGAACAGAUUGAAAAAAUGUUUUGUCUAAGAAUUGCAGGAAGAUUCUGGUGGAUGAAAUAGUUUUACUGUUUAUUGACUUAAUUCUUAUUUAGCAUGUAUAGUGGACUGAAUAAUUGUACAUAGCAAGCAAUGAAAAGAAAAAACUACAACUUUAACAGAAAAAGUGUUUGUAUUAUAAAUUUGCAAAUAUACCUAUAAUAUUAUGUACACCACAAAGGUAUAUAAUUCAAAUGGUUUGCAUAUUCAUGUAUUGCAAUGAAACUAUACAUGCUAUAACAAAGAAAAGUUCUAUUUUUCAAAAUAAAAUAAAAAGACAAAGAUUUCAAAACAACAUUUUUUUCAUUUAU